GUCCUGAUAGCUCAGCAGGAUAGAGCAAUGGCCUUCUAAGCCAUCGGUCGAGGGUUCGAAUCCCCCUCAGGACA
rfam:Brochothrix campestris FSL F6-1037 c16, whole genome shotgun sequence.